rnacentral:rRNA from 1 species
UACGUAGGGGGCUAGCGUUGUCCGGAAUCAUUGGGCGUAAAGAGCGUGUAGGCGGUCCGGUAAGUCCGCUGUGAAAGUCGGGGGCUCAACCCUCGAAUGCCGGUGGAUACUGUCGGGCUAGAGUGCGGAAGAGGCGAGUGGAAUUCCUGGUGUAGCGGUGAAAUGCGCAGAUAUCAGGAAGAACACCCGUGGCUAAGGCGGCUCUCUAGUACGUGACUGACGCUGAGACGCGAAAGCGUGGGGAGCGAACAGG